rnacentral:rRNA from 1 species
AAAUUGAAGAGUUUGAUCAUGGCUCAGAUUGAACGCUGGCGGCAGGCCUAACACAUGCAAGUCGAACGGUAACAGGAAGCAGCUUGCUGCUUUGCUGACGAGUGGCGGACGGGUGAGUAAUGUCUGGGAAAAUGCCUGAUGGAGGGGGAUAACUACUGGAAACGGUGGCUAAUACCGCAUAACGUCGCAAGACCAAAGAGGGGGACCUUCGGGCCUCUUGCCAUCAGAUGUGCCCAGAUGGGAUUAGCUUGUUGGUGAGGUAACGGCUCACCAAGGCGACGAUCCCUAGCUGGUCUGAGAGGAUGACCAGCCACACUGGAACUGAGACACGGUCCAGACUCCUACGGGAGGCAGCAGUGGGGAAUAUUGCACAAUGGGCGCAAGCCUGAUGCAGCCAUGCCGCGUGUAUGAAGAAGGCCUUCGGGUUGUAAAGUACUUUCAGCGGGGAGGAAGGUGUUGUGGUUAAUAACCGCAGCAAUUGACGUUACCCGC